UUGUGCAAUUACAAUCUUCUGUGAGUACAUAGCUGACGAGAAACAAAAUUUCUUUGAUCUUUAUAUUAGUUUAAAUUGUUCGUGUUUUCUAUUUUAAUUUUAAUUUUUUUUUUGAUUAUUUGCAGUUUUCACUUACCUCCUCAAAAAACCAACCAAAAACCAAAAAUGGGCGCUGAAAAAGUAACCAUGAACAUCGUCGUCGUCGGACAAGUCCAAUCUGCCAAGGCCAUCAAAUCGGUCGCCAAAGCAACUCCAGCCUCCAGCCAAUUGAUGAACUGUUAAUUCAAGUCCACAUCAAUCUCAAACUCAAAGAUGCCAUAGCCCAAACCGUACAUAAUUUUAUAAUUUAUUUUUAAUUAUAAUAAUGUAUAUUGACAUUGCAAAAUAAAUCAGUCUCUUCCGUCUAUGAAA